GUAGAGCCCUUGCCUAGCAUGUGCUAGGCCCUAGGUUCAAUCCCUAGUACAAGGGGAAAAAAAAAAAAUCUAAAUGUAGACAAGAUGCCUAACAACUAGAGAAAAGUUAGGCAAACUUUGCAGCUAUGAAAUAAUAUGAGGACUGAGGUUAAGAACAUGGAGACUGUUUGUAAUGCAAUGUUAUUUUAAAAAGUUAUAUUAUACAUUCUGUGCCCUUAUCACUACAAUUCUGUGAAAUAGAUAUAGAUAACCUAAUUCCACCUUAAGAUUGGGAGCCAUCUUGUUAUGAGGUCAUGAAAAAUUCAUUUCUGUUUUACUGUAAAAUACUAAGAUUUCUAUUUCUCCUGACCAUACUUUGAUAUUUUAAACUUGCUUGGAAUUCCUGCCUGUGCUUUGAACUUACGGGUGCCUGACUCUCCCUCACCAGAUAACAACCCUCCCUGAGAUCUCAGCUGCUCCUCCUUAAUUCUGAUGUUGGAAUCUGAAUUUACUCCCCACCUUGAGAUGUUAAGCCAUGUAGAUCAUUAACCUGCUGUCUGCCCUUGUUUUAUCAGAACCCUGUCAGCUGUAAGUUCCCAAUAUACCCACCUUUGUAACUUUGUGUUAUAAAAACCUCCCUGCUCUUAGACCAGGCAGUGUCCUCUGGCCAUGCUUUUAGGCAAGGCAGUGGCUGAGCAUCUCCCUCAUGUACACAAAAUAAGCUUGCUUUAAUUUGGUUUAAAAUUGGAGUCAGUGGUCUUUUCUUUGCGUCGUGGGUUCAACAAUAACAUUGAAAGGAAGUAUGUAAGAACAUAGUUUGUAAGAGUAGUAGAAUUAUGGGAAUGAAUGACAUCAGAAGGCAGUAACCUGGUUCUCCCCUUCACCGUCCUGACCUUCCCAUUCUGUAAAACAGGUUGGUCCUUAAUACCUGGGACUUUUUAAUUGAUGAAUUCAUAUAAAAGAGGCUGAAGAAAGUGGAAGAAACUCCUGCUUGUCCCCAGAAGAUUGAAGGAAUUGCCAAGGAGGGAGAUGCAGAACAAAACCACCAGGCCCUGUAAUGCCAGAUUCGUGGGACCCCAAUAGACCUCCAGGAGCCGAAUCCGAUGCAAUCACACAAGAGUCUUUAUUGCAAGCUUUAUUGAGCCUGGACUCACAACCAUUCUGGAUGCAGCGGUCCCAGGGAAUGAGUCCUGGUCCUUUGUUCAGUGAGAUUUUAUAGGUUUGGGGGGGAUACUCUAAGGGUCACAACAUGUCACAGCAAAUCAUUUCACACCGCAGGAAAGUCAAACGACAACUCUUAACAUUGAUUAGCACAUUCACUGGUGGGAACAAGUUGGGUAGGGGUGAUUGGUUAGUACAAGAGGGGGAUUCCUUUGAACUGAUUGGUUUAAGCCACGAGGGGAGUAUGUGCUGAACUACAUAGUUUCCCAACAUGUUAUCAACCACCAUAAACUACUUGGGGGUCAUCUGGCAUCCCAGGUAUUUUUCCUGUCUCAUGCCGAUUGGUGGUUGCUAGGGGUUGCUAUAGGUCCUCACCUAGCCUAACUGAGUCAGGGACACCUGGCACCGCAGAUCUCUACUGUUAUUUGCAGACAAACAACUCAGCAAGGUGGGUAUAUGCCUAGGAGUACUCUGUGGGUUUUUCCAAGGACAAGGGUCACUCCCCUUUCCUUGGACAGGCUUUGCUCUGAGGUAGAGGCUGGUUUCUCAAAAAUGGAGUCACAUCAGUUUCUCAUCCCCCCCUUUGUCUGGAAACUUGGGGACCAAUCAUGGUUCCCUCAGUUGGAGGUUUAUUUGGGCAGGCCCUACAUCUUGGUAAACAGUCCCCCUCAGGGGACAGUCUUCACUUCCCAGACUCACUCAAAAUUGACCUCCUAGAUCCGACCUGACUCAAUUUACCUAUUUACACUGACUGUCUAUCUAUUUCUGGCUUCAGCCCCAAGCCAGCUGUAGACCAUAUUAUGCUCAUAUCCACUGAGUGCUGCCCAUAGUCCUUCUUGCUUUUUCCUCCCACCUUCCCUUUCUCCCCCUUCCCCUUCCUUCAUUCCUUUCCUCCUUUUCAUAAAAUCAAAACAAAAACUAUUGGAUAAAUUAGUUUAUGUUUACAGUAUCUACAUAUAACUUCAAUUACAAGGAAAAUCAAGUAGUUAGGAGAUUAACUAAGUUAGGAUGUUCCGAUUCUUUUAUGGGAAGAUUCACUGUGUGAAUAGCAUUUUUUUUUUUUUGCUAAAUUAGAAAGAAAUGAUAUGGUUAUGAUCCAUCUGUAGGAAUCAGGUUAUUUGCAUUUGCAGAAAAUCAGGGAGGCAAAUUUGGAGGAGCAAUUAAGAUUCACCUAGAACCUCUUCUAUAUGCCCGACUGCCUUCUCUGGACAGUAGGCGGUGGCAGAUUUGGAAAACUAGGACUAGGAAAAAAUCCAGAGCAUAAAUACCCUAAGAACACCAGACCAGGAGUUUCAAAGGCAAAUAAUGAUUGUGGGACCAGAUAGGAGAUGUCAAUGAGUAAAUGUCCAGUAACUAUUCUUGGUAACUAUAUUCAUUUUGCAUAUUAAACAUGGAAGAUUGUCCUAAC